GUGGGGAAUAUUGCACAAUGGGGGAAACCCUGAUGCAGCGACGCCGCGUGAGCGAAGAAGUAUUUCGGUAUGUAAAGCUCUAUCAGCAGGGAAGAAGAAAUGACGGUACCUGACUAAGAAGCACCGGCUAAAUACGUGCCAGCAGCCGCGGUAAUACGUAUGGUGCAAGCGUUAUCCGGAUUUACUGGGUGUAAAGGGAGCGCAGGCGGAAGGCUAAGUCUGAUGUGAAAGCCCGGGGCUCAACCCCGGUACUGCAUUGGAAACUGUCGUACUAGAGUGUCGGAGGGGUAAGCGGAAUUCCUAGUGUAGCGGUGAAAUGCGUAGAUAUUAGGAGGAACACCAGUGGCGAAGGCGGCUUACUGGACGAUAACUGACGCUGAGGCUCGAAAGCGUGGGGAGCAAACAGGAUUAGAUACCCGUGUAGUCC
rnacentral:rRNA from 1 species